AAAUAACUUUCUAACUAGUCAUUUAAGAGCAACUCCCGGGAAACUGUGAUGCAAUCCCACAUAUCAGCCAGACUUCAAAAGCUGCCAGAUUAUUGUGAAAGGAGAAACACUGUUUUCGAAGGCUGCUGAUAAUGCCUAUUAGCCAGAAGAAAGAGCCUGAAUCAUUCAAAGGUUUUCCAUCUAGUAAAGAAGUGUGGUAAAAAUCUUGCCCAGAUCUGCAUGUGCUAAGCAUCUACGUAAGUUGGAGCAUCAUAUUAAUGACACCCAGUGAAGAAACGAAAGAAUGAAGUGUAAUUACUAUAUCAAAAAUCCACAGAAUGUGAAAGUAUAAAGGAAAACUCUCAGGUGAGACUCGAUUAUUUUUAUUUCAAAGAUCUAGGUAAAAAUGUGAACAGAUUGGGAGGCUGAGGCAGGAGAAUCACUUGAACCCAGGAGGCAGAAGUUGCAGUGAGCCAAGAUUGCACCAUUGGACUCCAGCCUGGGCAACAGACAAGACUCUAUCUCAAAAAAAAAAUGUGAACAGAUAUAUUGACAUAAAAUUCAUAAAACAUAUGGAUAUACUAAAAACUAGGAAGUCUGGUUGCUUCUGAGGAUAAGAGUUGAGGACCUGUUUCAAGAAUACUUUGCACAGCUUGUACUAUUGCAGUAUUUGAAUUUUUUCUUGUACAUGUAUAACUUUUUUAAAAAGAAUGAGAAAUGCUGUACAAGUGCAACUAUUUUUACUGUAAGUUUUUAUUUCCAUAAAACUAUAAUUAAGUGUGUGGUCAAUAGAUCCUGUUAUAUAGCUAUGAUAUCCCUUGAAUUUGUUUACCUGGUAACACUAGCUCACGUUUGUAAAUCCUUUGGAACUCCCAAAGCGAUUUUACAUACAUUACCUAAUUUGUAAGAUUACAAAACUAUUACAUUAGCUUUUCUGGUUUUCUUGUCUUAAUACGUGAUUAUCAUAUUAAACUGCAGUGUUUUUUUUUUUCCAUCAAGUCACACACACAAAACAGGAAACCAGCAGUUGUAAUUUCUUCAGCAAUUCUUAAUCUGCUCAGCUAAAAACUUUGGAGUUAGACAUAUGGACAGCCCACCCCAAGGGAAGAAUCAGAGGAGAAGGGACACAAGACCCCAGAAACACACAAAGCACCUUAAUAUGCAUGCUGCAUCUCUCUAAAAUUGUGGAACCUGUUUACCUGCUCUGGAGAAUGGCUGCCUGUGGCAGACAUAGGAGUUGUCCUCAUGCUGUGCUUCCUAUCUUCCACAGUAAUUGACUUGUAGCUGCAAUACAGUUACCAACCAGGAAUACAAUUUCUCAGCCCCAUGUCUUGCACCUACAGCUAAGUGUGGCCAUGUGACCAGUUUUCACCAAUUAAGUGUGAAUAGCAACAAAGUGCACCACCUUCAAUUGGAGGCUUUGAAGAAGCAGGGCAGCCUUCCCUUGCUCUCUUUCCCCUUGUUCUGGUGGGAUACAGAUGACAAUAAGGCCCUGGGUUUUGAGGUAGCCACAAGAUGCAAAAUACCUCAGACCUGAGUCACCACAAGGAAGAGAGAAGCCCACUGACAUGGAAUACCCAGCCUAGUCUACAGAUGAAUAAGAAAUAAACUUCUAUUAUGUUCGAACAUUACAGAUUUUGUUCUGUUAUAGCAGUUUAUCUCACCCUGACUAAACUGUUGCCUAUCUUCCAAGAUAGGCCCUCCUUCCCUGAAAGUGACUUUUUCAUACAUGUAAUCUGUAUUUUAAUUCAUAUUCUCCAAAGCAUAUCCACAUCUAUUCAACUAUUUUCAUGUCUUCCAUCAAU
rnacentral:lncRNA from 1 species